rnacentral:rRNA from 1 species
GACGAACGCUGGCGGCGUGCUUAACACAUGCAAGUCGAACGAUGAAGCCGGAGCUUGCUCUGGUGAAUUAGUGGCGAACGGGUGAGUAACACGUGAGUAACCUGCCCUUAACUCUGGGAUAACUGCUAGAAAUGGUAGCUAAUACCGGAUACGACCCUCGGAGGCAUCUCCAGGGGGUGGAAAGAAUUUCGGUCAAGGAUGGACUCGCGGCCUAUCAGCUAGCUGGUGAGGUAACGACUCACCAAGGCGACGACGGGUAGCCGGCCUGAGAGGGUGACCGGCCACACUGGGACUGAGACACGGCCCAGACUCCUACGGGAGGCAGCAGUGGGGAAUAUUGCACAAUGGGCGCAAGCCUGAUGCAGCAACGCCGCGUGAGGGAUGACGGCCUUCGGGUUGUAAACCUCUUUUAGUAGGGAAGAAGCGAAAGUGACGGUACCUGCAGAAAAAGCACCGGCUAACUACGUGCCAGCAGCCGCGGUAA